GGGAUCUGAUUUGAUAGUGGCAAAAGGGUGAGCAACGCAUGGGCAAUCUACCUUUGAGUUUGGGAUAACAUUCCGAAAGGGAUGCUAAUACCGCAUAAGACCACGGCCCUGCAUGGGGCCGAGGUAAAAGAUAGGGACCGUAAGGCCUAUUGCUUGAAGAGGAGCCCGUGUUCUAUCAGCUAGUUGGCGGGGUAACAGCCCACCAAGGCUACGACGGAUAGCUGGUCUGAGAGGAUGGUCAGCCACACUGGGACUGAGACACUGCCCAGACUCCUACGGGAGGCUGCAGUCGAGAAUCUUUCGCAAUGGGCGCAAGCCUGACGAUGCGACGCCGCGUGAGCGAUGAAGGCCUUCGGGUCGUAAAGCUCUGUCACGUGGGACGAACGUCCUGAUGGUGAAUAGCCUGAUGGGCUGACUGUACCACGAGAGGAAGCCACGGCUAACUCCGUGCCAGCAGCCGCGGUAAUACGGAGGUGGCUAACGUUGUUCGGAUUCAUUGGGUGUAAAGGGUAUGUAGGUGGCCUUGCAAGUCGGAUGUGAAAUCCUUUGGCUCAACCAAAGAACUGCAUUCGAAACUGCUUGGCUUGAGUUUGGAAGAGGAGAGUGGAAUUCCCGGUGUAAGAGUGAAAUCUGUAGAUAUCGGGAGGAACACCAGUGGCGAAAGCGACUCUCUGGUCCAAAACUGACACUGAAAUACGAAAGCUAGGGUAGCAAACAGGAUUAGAUACCCUGGUAGUCCUAGCCGUAAACGAUGAGCACUUGGUGUGGGGUCCGUUAGGGCUCUGUGCCGAAGUUAACACAUUAAGUGUUCCACCUGGGGACUACGGCCGCAAGGUUGAAACUCAAAGAAAUUGACGGGGACCCGCACAAGCGGUGGAGCAUGUGGUUUAAUACGACGCUACGCGUGGAACCUUACCAGGGCUUGAAAGGUGCAUGAAACCCCGAUGAAAAUUGGGGCCUCCUUUCCGGGACAUGCAUACAAGGUGUUGCAUGGCUGUCGUCAGCUCGUGUCGUGAGAUGUUGGGUUAAGUCCCGCAACGAGCGCAACCAUCAUCCUUUAGUUGCCAUCGGUUCCG
rnacentral:rRNA from 1 species